AAAUGGCAGCUGUAGGCUGUAGCCUGUUGAAGGCCCAGCUGCUUCCCUAUUUUGGAGACCAUAACAAAGAACUUGUGUUGGAAGGCUAGUCUAGGAGCCCACAUUUAGCCAUCCUUUUUCAUUCCUGAGCUGACGCUGAGACCAACCUCAUCCUCUCAUGUCCGGAAGAAGACUCAAACUUGCAUUGACAGAUAAAAACCCCAACUCUUCUAGUUCUUCUCUUUAAUCAUGGCGUUCAGUGGAUCUAACUUUUGCUUCAAAAUUUUGGAUUGUCUUCAUUUUGAGAAUCAGAGAUGAAAAGUUCUAUCUAGACGAAACAUGAUCUCAUAUUAACAUUUCACGCAAGGAAAAACGAAGUUUCAAAUUAAAAUUCAUGGGUGAAUGUUUGAUCAUCCAUUUUCUAAUCAACAGUGAUACUGUUUUCUUCAAUUUACAUUAGACUAUGCUGUAGCUUGCAAUGUUGUUGUAGGUAAAUUAUAUUGAUAGGCGGCUGCCAUGUUCUUGCAUUAAUAGUUUCGACGGGCUUCCCCACCUCAAGGACAACCACUUUUUUUCGCCUACUACACCUGCAACACAUUGUUUUCCUCUCAAGCUGCACAUUAAAGCAGCACUCUUCGCUAAAACUUCCCGGUUGUUGUCACUAAGAGCAUGUCAAGUCACAAGUGAGGACUCGGAGGAAAUGGUAAGCGGUGAAAGCAUCAUAUUAGAUGAGCAAAGCCUUAACACGGGACUGACAGAUUGCCAUUGAUGAAUAGAAUUAUGCCCAAGCUGCAAAACGCAGGGACAGUCUACGAGUACUCCAGGAGGAUAGCAAUUUAAAGCUUCAGUACUGGCAGCAAAUGCUCGGUUUUGUAAUGCAUUCAGGAAUGGGGACCUGGCUUCUAUACAAUCCCUUUGGGCUAAGGGAGACAAUAGAAAUUGGCUUCUAUGUUUCACAUGAAUUUCUUGAUGAGACACUUUCCCGUCAUUAUAAUAGAAAUUUUAACCUUUUUAAUACUAUAUCAUCUUAAUUUCAGAGGUGUAUAUUUGUUUGCACUAUUUCUUUAUACAAGGGUGAUGUUGGUAAUGUAACAGAACUGAUACAAAAUUAUUAUAGCCAAAUAUGACUUCUACUA